rnacentral:rRNA from 1 species
GACGAACGCUGGCGGCGUGCCUAAUACAUGCGAGUAGAACGCACAGUUUAUACCGUAGCUUGCUACACCAUAGACUGUGAGUUGCGAACGGGUGAGUAACGCGUAGGUAACCUGCCUGGUAGCGGGGGAUAACUAUUGGAAACGAUAGCUAAUACCGCAUAAUAUUGAUUAUUGCAUGAUAAUUAAUUGAAAGGUGCAAUUGCACCACUACCAGAUGGACCUGCGUUGUAUUAGCUAGUAGGUGAGGUAACGGCUCACCUAGGCGACGAUACAUAGCCGACCUGAGAGGGUGAUCGGCCACACUGGGACUGAGACACGGCCCAGACUCCUACGGGAGGCAGCAGUAGGGAAUCUUCGGCAAUGGACGAAAGUCUGACCGAGCAACGCCGCGUGAGUGAAGAAGGUUUUCGGAUCGUAAAGCUCUGUUGUAAGAGAAGAACGGGUGUGAGAGUGGAAAGUUCACACUGUGACGGUAUCUUACCAGAAAGGGACGGCUAACUACGUG